ensembl:lncRNA
AACUAGUAACUAGCAUAGCCAUAGCAACCAUCUAUUUAGAACUAGUAACUAGCAUAGCCAUAGCAACCAUCAAUUUAGAACUAGUAACUAGUAGCUCAAUGCUCGUUGCCAGGUGCCCGUCAACGGAAUUAGGUCCCAAAGUGUGGGAGAAAGAAGUAGCUCCACAAACAGGCCGAUGUGAGCAGGGGUACUUCUGCCAGGGUGGGGCCAGCAGUCUUGCCCCCCAGCCCUCCGCUGAGCUGCCCCAGAACGGACCCUGCCCAACUGGG